AUACGGAGGAUGCAAGCGUUAUCCGGAUUUAUUGGGUUUAAAGGGUGCGUAGGCGGGACUGUAAGUCAGAAGUGAAAUUCCUGAGCUCAACUCGGGCGCUGCUUCUGAAACUGCAGGACUUGAGUGCUGGAGGGGAUAGCGGAAUUCCUAGUGGAGCGGUAAAAUGCGCAGAUAUUAGGAAGAACACCGGUGGCGAAGGCGGCUAUCUGGACAGUAACUGACGCUGAGGCGCGAAAGCGUGGGGAGCAAACAGGAUUAGAUACCCUGGUAGUCCACGCUGUAAACGAUGAAUGCUAGGUGUGGGGACGUAAGUUUCCGUGCCGGAGUUAACACAAUAAGCAUUCCACCUGGGGAGUACGGCCGCAAGGUUGAAACUCAAAUGAAUUGACGGGG
rnacentral:rRNA from 1 species